rnacentral:rRNA from 1 species
GAUGAACGCUGGCGGCGUGCCUAAUACAUGCAAGUCGAGCGAACAGAUGAGAAGCCUGCUUCUCUGAUGUUAGCGGCGGACGGGUGAGUAACACGUGGGUAACCUACCUAUAAGACUGGGAUAACUCCGGGAAACCGGGGCUAAUACCGGAUAAUAUUUUGAACCGCAUGGUUCAAUAGUGAAAGACGGUUUCGGCUGUAACCUAUAGAUGGACCCGCGCCGUAUUAGUUAGUUGGUAAGGUAACGGCUUACCAAGGCGAAGAUACGUAGCCGACCUGAGAGGGUGAUCGGCCGCACUGGAACUGAGACACGGUCCAGACUCCUACGGGAGGCAGCAGUAGGGAAUCUUCCGCAAUGGGCGAAAGCCUGACGGAGCAACGCCGCGUGAGUGAUGAAGGUCUUCGGAUCGUAAAACUCUGUUGUUAGGGAAGAACAAAUUUGUUAGUAACUGAACAAGUCUUGACGGUACCUAACCAGAAAGCCACGGCUAACUACGUGCCAGCAGCCGCGGUAA